UUUAUCCCAAAAAUUUCACCGUGUAGGUUCCGACAUAUGGUAGAAUGGGCCACCCCUUCCUUUUUCGUUGGUGUCGUAGGAGGCGACUAGAGGAGCUUAUGUUCGUGAGAUGGUCAGCAGCGUCCCUUUUAUAACAUCAGCCUGAUUAUAUCAAGGCCUGACUGCGGUUGCCAACCCGUCGGCCAAGCGUGGCGACUACUGGCAUAACUCUUCUCCGUUAUGGGGAAGGUUUAUGUUCAGCAGUACACACCUCACUCUCUGUUACUUUUGUACAAAGUACUACUAACUUAAAAUCUAGUGUGCGUUUUAUUACGAUAUACCAUCGAAAUGUAGUUACUUCCAAGAUCCAUGCAUACGAAGGUGCGAGCAAAGCUAGUAACUUAUAGAAAAACACCCACUACUGUAGUUCCUGAUCAGGUAGUCAGCAGAGCUUGUUGAAUUACAACGUGACAAGGGUCAAAUUUACUGUCAAUUCUAGAAACAAAUAAUACCUACACUUAGAAGACAAAUGUGCUAGAUAUUAUUUUUUUUUUUUUUUACAACACAGGGGGCAAACGAGCAUGCGGCUCACCUGAUGGUAAGUGACUACCGCCGCCCAUGAUCACCCACAACACCUACGGCAUUGCAGGUGUGCUGCCGGCCUUUUAAAAAGGAAUAUGCUCUUUUCUUGAAGGUUAUGUUGUCGUAUCGGUUCGGAAAUACUGCUGCUGGAAGUUGAUUCCAAAGAGUGGUUGUGCGUGGGAGAAAGUGCCUUGAAAAACGCACGGUGGAGGACCGCCACUUGUCCAGAUGGUUGGGAUGAAAUUUUAGUUUAUGGCGGGUUGUACGAUGGUGAAAAUCUGCAGCAGGUAUCAAUCCGAACAAUUCUUCAGAGCACUCCCCAUGAUAAAUUCGGUAGAAAAUGCACAGAGAUGCAACAUCUCUACGCAGUUCCAGUGGGUCGAGCCGGACAGUAAGACGCCGAUCGUCAACAAUUCGAGCUAGUUAUUAAUCGAUGAUGCACAGGUACCCUACGAUUACACACCAAUCGGUCGGAACGCCAGAAAACUAUUCGGACAUGCACCUCAUCCCUCCGAUGUCAAUUUAAAUUAUGAGAGACUCUUUCCAUCCAGACGCAAAUGGAAUACUUAAUUAAACACUUAUUAAAUAAA